UUCAGUGAUCAAAGCAACCCACUGAAACUAAGCAGGUGUGAGCCUGAUCAGUACCUGGAUGGGAGACCACCUGGGAAAGCUAAGGUUGCUGCUGGAA
rnacentral:rRNA from 1 species